rnacentral:rRNA from 1 species
UACGAAGGGGGCUAGCGUUGCUCGGAAUUACUGGCGUAAAGGGCGCGUAGGCGGGUCGGUUAAGUUGGGGGUGAAAGCCCAGGGCUCAACCCUGGAAUUGCCUUCAAUACUGGCGACCUUGAGUAUGGCAGAGGUGUGUGGAACUCCGGAGUGUAGAGGUGAAAUUCGUAGAUAUUCGGAAGAACACCAGUGGCGAAGGCGACACACUGGGCCAUUCUGACGCUGAGGCGCGAAAAGCGUGGGGAGCAACAGGG